rnacentral:rRNA from 1 species
UUCCUACGGGGCGCAGCAGUGAGGAAUAUUGGUCAAUGGACGAGAGUCUGAACCAGCCAAGUAGCGUGAAGGAUGACUGCCCUAUGGGUUGUAAACUUCUUUUAUAAAGGAAUAAAACGAGGCACGUGUGCCUUUUUGCAUGUACUUUAUGAAUAAGGAUCGGCUAACUCCGUGCCAGCAGCCGCGGUAAUACGGAGGAUCCGAGCGUUAUCCGGAUUUAUUGGGUUUAAAGGGUGCGCAGGCGGGAGAUCAAGUCAGCGGUAAAAUGUCGGGGCUCAACCCCGGCCGGCCGGUGGAACUGGUUU